GACGAACGCUGGCGGCGUGCUUAACACAUGCAAGUCGAACGGAAAGGCCCUGCUUUUGUGGGGUGCUCGAGUGGCGAACGGGUGAGUAACACGUGAGUAACCUGCCCUUGACUUUGGGAUAACUUCAGGAAACUGGGGCUAAUACCGGAUAGGAGCUCCUGCUGCAUGGUGGGGGUUGGAAAGUUUCGGCGGUUGGGGAUGGACUCGCGGGAUCUGCUCGUUGGUGGGGUAUUGGCUUACCAAGGGUUUGACGGGUAGCCGGCCUGUGAGGGGGACCGGCCACAUUGGGACUGAGAUACGGCCCAGACUCCUACGGGAGGCAGCAGUGGGGAAUAUUGCACAAUGGGCGGAAGCCUGAUGCAGCAACGCCGCGUGCGGGAUGACGGCCUUCGGGUUGUAAACCGCUUUCGCCUGUGACGAAGCGUGAGUGACGGUAAUGGGUAAAGAAGCACCGGCUAACUACGUG
rnacentral:rRNA from 1 species